CCUACGGGUGGCAGCAGUGGGGAAUAUUGCGCAAUGGGCGAAAGCCUGACGCAGCGACGCCGCGUGAGGGAUGAAGGUCUUCGGAUCGUAAACCUCUGUCAGCAGGGAAGAACGGUCACUGUGCUAAUCAGCAGUGAAUUGACGGUACAUGCAAAGGAAGCACCGGCUAACUCCGUGCCAGCAGCCGCGGUGAUACGGAGGGUGCGAGCGUUAAUCGGAAUUACUGGGCGUAAAGCGCUCGUAGGGGGUAUGUCAAGUCAAGGGUGAAAUCCCCGCGCGCAACGUGGGAACUGCCUUUGAAACUGGCAAACUGGAGGGGGUGAGAGAAUAGGGGAAUUGCAGGUGGAGGAGUGAAAUCCGUAGAUAUCCGGAGGAACAUCAGUGGCGGAGGCGACUAUCUGGCACAUAGCUGACGCUGAGGGGCGAAAGCGUGGGUAGCAAACAGGAUUAGAUACCCCGGGUAGUC
rnacentral:rRNA from 1 species